CACUAAACAGUCUUUCACAGGCUGCUGAGGCUGGGAGUGCCUUAUUAAGCUUAAGUGAUAGCUGGCACACAGCUGAAAAGGACUCCAGUACCUCUAUUGUGUCUCCUGGGCACCCCAGGUACGCAUCCAACUGCUGGGUCAUUUCAAGAGGGCUGGUCUUCUUCACGGUGGAAAAGAAGUUCAUACAGAUUUAAAACAACAUGAGGAUGAGAAAAUGAUGACAGAAUUUUUCUUUUUGGGUCCACCCAGGGAUGUACUGUAUAAGGGUUGUGGUUCGUUGGUCUUCCUGGCUACCAACUUCCUUGCUGGUGCUGGUGCUUGGUUGUUGAGACAUUGGGUUUUGAGCCUCUGCCACGGACAUCUUCAUACUUGGCUCCGUCUGCUAUGUCCAGCGUUGCGGUAACUGAAGUGUGACAUGAUGUGCAGAGAGCCGCAGAAGAGGGAUGAAAGAGACACUUGUGGCUCCGGAGCAGCAGGUUGCCAACCCCGCCCUAGGGGUUAACACCUUUAAACUGUCAGAACACUCAAUAAUUAAUCUGUGUCACAGAAACUUUUUAUUACACCUUGGCAUGGAAUCAUAGUUUCUGUAACCGUUAUGAUGGAUUGUUUUCUCCAACCGACAAAACAUUAAUUCUGUGUAUUAUAGAACAUCAAAAAUUUGUCCUGUCAAUGUCUUCUCUAUUGCACUCAAUAGAAGAUCUAUAGGCUUUAUAUCACAAAAAACAUGAGUUUUAUUUUCUAAUGUAUCAGUUUGUCAGGUUAUUUUAAUUUACUUAUUUUCCAUUUUAUCUAACCAGGCGGUGUUACAUGAUUUCCUGUGUUUGAUUUGAGAUCUCUUCAUUUAACUUCUGUGUGUUUAAUUUAUUCAGUCUGUCCUCGUCCCGAUGCUCUGCCGUCACUUUUAUUUUCCGGUUCGGGUUUUAUUACCCUGUUGUCAAAGCACAAGGAUGUGCACAGAGAUUGGGAGGAAAAUAAUCAACCAAAAGAAUCAUCCAUUCAGAGUUGUGGGUCUUUAAGGGACACUCGAGAUCUUCCACUCCAACCUCCAACACAUCAUGGAGAUCUUCAUGGACCUGGCUUUGUACACAGGAGCAUUGAGAUGCAGGAACAGGUAUAAGCCUCUUAGUUACAGUGAAAUGAAAUGUUACGUUAUAG